CAGAGCUCAAUCAGCACUAAAAACGUGAAGAUGAUGGCAAGUUAUUUUGCAUUAACAAUUCUGAUUGCAGUAUUGCCGGUUGAGAGCCAAGACAUUCCUCGUUCAGUUUCUGAAAUAAAAGCAGAACUUGGAGAUAAGGUUACUUUACAUUGUAGAGGAAUGAAAAAAGAAAAUAUGACGGAAGAUAAGAUUGACUUGUACAAACAAUCUCAUGGAUAUGUUCCCCAAACAGUCGCUCGAAGUGUGUUUGGAAAAAUUACAAUUUAUCCUCCCUUUAAUUUAACAUUCACAGUGGAAGAAGGGGUUUCUGAUUUCAAUUUGAUCAUUCAAAGUGUAACUAAAGGCGAUGAAGCAAACUAUUUUUUUCGACAACAAUUUUCUGAAAGUUGGACUAAUGGCAUUUUUCUGUCUGUCAAAGGUAAAAUGUAAACCUUUUUCAAUGUUUUGCUUUCAAUAUCAUGAGUAAUUGUUUACUUUCGCUGAUGGAACCCUAAACAUAUUGACUUAGUCCCUUUUGAUGAUGAUUAUUUGCAUUUAUUUUGCAGAUCACAAAAUCACGACGGAUGAAGAAAAGCAAGAUAAAACAG
ensembl:lncRNA